GGAAGAGGAAAUUUCUACCGAGGUCGAGGUAACAAUAACUUCAACUCCAAAGGAAGAGGUUUCAUACUCGUUGGACAAGGAAACAGUGCCGAACAAGGAAACAAUAAUAAAAGUAAUCAAAAUACUCAAAGUAGAAAUCAAAACAAAUUAAAGGGAAAGACCCCUAUGAGGCAUGUCAGAUUUGUGGUAGGCAUAACCACACUGCUCUAAAGUGUUUCUACAGGUGCGAUUUUUCAUAUCAGGCUGCAGAUGAAUUACCACAAGCACUAAAUACCGUGAAUCUAUAUAAUACUUCAACAAAAGAUGACAAUAUGUAUGUGGACUCGGGA
rnacentral:lncRNA from 1 species